ACUCUUCGGAGUGAGCGGCGGACGGGUUAGUAACGCGUGUGAAUAUACCCUUCAUUAUGGAAUAGCCUCGGGAAACUGAGAGUAAUACCAUAUACGCCCUUCGGGGGAAAGAUUUAUCGGUGAAGGAUUAGCCCGCGUAAGAUUAGAUAGUUGGUGGGGUAAUGGCCUACCAAGUCUACGAUCUUUAGCUGGUUUGAGAGGAUGAUCAGCAACACUGGGACUGAGACACGGCCCAGACUCCUACGGGAGGCAGCAGUGGGGAAUCUUAGACAAUGGGCGCAAGCCUGAUCUAGCCAUGCCGCGUGAGUGACGAAGGCCUUAGGGUCGUAAAGCUCUUUCGCCAGAGAUGAUAAUGACAGUAUCUGGUAAAGAAACCCCGGCUAACUCCGUGCCAGCAGCCGCGGUAAUACGGAGGGGGUUAGCGUUGUUCGGAAUUACUGGGCGUAAAGCGUACGUAGGCGGAUUGGAAAGUAAGAGGUGAAAUCCCAGGGCUCAACCCUGGAACUGCCUUUUAAACUAUCAGUCUAGAGUUCGAGAGAGGUGAGUGGAAUUCCAAGUGUAGAGGUGAAAUUCGUAGAUAUUUGGAGGAACACCAGUGGCGAAGGCGGCUCACUGGCUCGAUACUGACGC
rnacentral:rRNA from 1 species